rnacentral:lncRNA from 1 species
GGCAAAGGCUGUGGAGUAGAUAGUAACAAGGUGGUCUACAAACCAGGGCAAGCCCUUCUCUAGACGUCAACCCUGUCUGUACAUCUUGAAUUGCUCACCUCAAGACUGUGAAGAAAUAAACACCCACUGUAUAAGCCUCUCAGCCUGUGGCAUUUUGGGGUGUCAGCCUGAGUUGACUAAGACACCUGGAAAUGCUCAAAUAGAAGGCUCAGAAGUUAGUGUGGAGGGCAUCGAGAUGUUGUCUAAUGGCUGGCUAAUCUUCUUGGACUUCAGAAUCUUUCAUUUCUAAAAGGAGCUCUAUAAACAACGUUCAGCCUGGCAAAGCAAAAAGAGUGUCUUCUUUGAUCCUUGGUUAAGAUUCUGAAGUGGGUAAGAGUCUGCCAUGACAGAGGACUUCAUUGCAGGAAGGCCCAGGCUGUCAUCAUGGCAGUAGCUAGGCAUUCAAAAGGAACCCCAUGCUGGUUAGUUUUGAUUGUCAACCCAAUGCAACUGAGUACCAUCUGGCAAGAGUCUUAAGAGUUAUGGCCAAUGGACAUAUCAGUAGGUGAUUGUCUAGAUUGUUAAUUGAUAUAGGAAGAUCCAGCUCACUGUAGGCAAUUCCACCAUCUGGCAAGAGUCUUAAGAGUUAAGGCCAAUGGACAUAUCAGUAGGUGAUAGUCUAGAUUGUUAAUUGAUAUAGGAAGAUCCAGCUCACUGUAGGCAAUUCAUUCUCUAGGCAGGAGGUCCAGAACUGUCUAAGAGGAGAAAUAGAGCUGACAGCAAGCAAGGAUCCAUGUGUUUAUUCUCUUUGUCCCUUGAUUGUGGAUGUGGUACUUUGAGUUUUUGCCUUGAUGGCCCCAAAAUAAUGGACUGUAACCUUGGGUUGUAAGUUAAACAAACUCUUUCUUUCACAGGUUGACUUUGGUAAGGGUAUUUUUAUUUAUUUAUUUAUUUAUUUAUUUAUUUAUUUAUUUAUUUAUUUAUUUAUUUAUUUAUUUAUUUAUUUAUUUAUUUAUUUAUUUAUUUAUUUAUUUAUUUAUUUAUUUAUUUAUUUAUUUAUUUAUUUAUUUAUUUAUUUAUUUAUUUAUUUAUUUAUUUAUUUAUUUAUUUAUUUAUUUAUUUUUAAAGGUUUUCUUUAUUUAUUAUGUAUACAACAUUCUGCUUCCAUGUAUAUCUGCACACCAGAAGAGGGCACCAGAUCUCAUAACGGAUGGUUGUGAGCCACCAUGUGGUUGCCGAGAAUUGAACUCAGGACCUCUGGAAGAACAGUCAGUGCUCUUAACUGCUGAGCCAUCUCUCUGGCCCCGGUAUUCACUCAAGAGUAAUAGAGUGCACGUCUGCACAAAGGCCUGCACUCGGCUUCUCUGUGAAACCCCCAAACUGGAACUAACAGGUCUUGAAGCCCAGCAUGGCAGCCUGAAAAGAAGGUUGGAGCCAAUUUACAGAUGGCUCUGAAUCCAGGGGAAGGUGGACUGAAGACUUACAGUUUUGAUGCUGUUUAUAUGUCCUUGACCUGAUGCACCCCCAAAACACGAGUUACUAAAAUAAAACAGAAGAUAGCAACAAUUGCAGCAGAGAGUUAAUAUUUCAGUGCGGACUUCACACACAGCAAAAAGAACAAUAGGGAUGAGCUCAGCAGCACGGACCUGUCACUUCUCGAGAGGCAAGUUCAAGGCUAGC